UGAUAUCCUAAGUGUGUCUAACGUAAAUUAUGCUUAACAACUAACUAUUUAAAAUAACCGUAUGGGAGCAUCCAUAAACUAAAUUAUACUAUUUUGAAUGCUUUUUAACCUUUUCCAUUUGCUUCAUCUGUCGUCAGACCAAAUUAACCCCCACUGUGGCAUUACAAUUUUGAAGGUCUCCCUUUCUCCCUUUUUACUUAAAAAAAAUUUUUUUUGCGAAAUUUAUAUUAAAAAAGUACAUAAAAUAGUAUUAUAUAGGAAUUAUUUUACACACCUUUUUACACAUUCUUUAAUUACCAAAUAAAGCUUCG
rnacentral:lncRNA from 1 species